AGUGAACGCUGGCGGUAGGCCUAACACAUGCAAGUCGAACGGCAGCACAGUAAGAGCUUGCUCUUACGGGUGGCGAGUGGCGGACGGGUGAGGAAUACAUCGGAAUCUACUUUUUCGUGGGGGAUAACGUAGGGGAACUUACGCUAAUACCGCAUACGACCUACGGGUGAAAGCAGGGGAUCUUCGGACCUUGCGCGAUUGAAUGAGCCGAUGUCGGAUUAGCUAGUUGGCGGGGUAAAGGCCCACCAAGGCGACGAUCCGUAGCUGGUCUGAGAGGAUGAUCAGCCACACUGGAACUGAGACACGGUCCAGACUCCUAUGGGAGGCAGCAGUGGGGAAUAUUGGACAAUGGGCGCAAGCCUGAUCCAGCCAUACCGCGUGGGUGAAGAAGGCCUUCGGGUUGUAAAGCCCUUUUGUUGGGAAAGAAAAGCAGCAGGUUAAUACCCCGCUGUUCUGACGGUACCCAAAGAAUAAGCACCGGCUAACUUCGUG
rnacentral:rRNA from 1 species